rnacentral:rRNA from 1 species
GGGUUGUGAGGUUAAGUGACUAAGCGUACACGGUGGAUGCCUAGGCAGUCAGAGGCGAUGAAGGGCGUGCUAAUCUGCGAAAAGCGUCGGUAAGGUGAUAUGAACCGUUACAACCGGCGAUACCCGAAUGGGGAAACCCAGUGUGUUUCGACACACUAUCAUGUCAUGAAUACAUAGUGGCAUGAGGCGAACCGGGGGAACUGAAACAUCUAAGUACCCCGAGGAAAAGAAAUCAACCGAGAUUCCCCCAGUAGCGGCGAGCGAACGGGGAGGAGCCCAGAACCUGAAUCGGCUUGUGUGUUAGUGGAAGCGUCUGGAAAGUCGCGCAGCAAAGGGUGAUAGCCCCGUACACUAAAAUGCACAGGUCGUGAGUUCGAUGAGUAGGGCGGGACACGUGACAUCCUGUCUGAAUAUGGGGGGACCAUCCUCCAAGGCUAAAUACUCCUGACUGACCGAUAGUGAACCAGUACCGUGAGGGAAAGGCGAAAAGAACCCCGGCGAGGGGAGUGAAAUAGAACCUGAAACCGUGUACGUACAAGCAGUGGGAGCACCUUCGUGGUGUGACUGCGUACCUUUUGUAUAAUGGGUCAGCGACUUAUAUUUUGUAGCAAGGUUAACCGUAUAGGGGAGCCGUAGGGAAACCGAGUCUUAACUGGGCGAAUAGUUGCAAGGUAUAGACCCGAAACCCGGUGAUCUAGCCAUGGGCAGGUUGAAGGUUGGGUAACACUAACUGGAGGACCGAACCGACUAAUGUUGAAAAAUUAGCGGAUGACUUGUGGCUGGGGGUGAAAGGCCAAUCAAACCGGGAGAUAGCUGGUUCUCCCCGAAAGCUAUUUAGGUAGCGCCUCGUGAACUCAUCUUCGGGGGUAGAGCACUGUUUCGGCUAGGGGGCCAUCCCGGCUUACCAAACCGAUGCAAACUCCGAAUACCGAAGAAUGUUAUCACGGGAGACACACGGCGGGUGCUAACGUCCGUCGUGAAGAGGGAAACAACCCAGACCGCCAGCUAAGGUCCCAAAGUCAUGGUUAAGUGGGAAACGAUGUGGGAAGGCAUAGACAGCCAGGAUGUUGGCUUAGAAGCAGCCAUCAUUUAAAGAAAGCGUAAUAGCUCACUGGUCGAGUCGGCCUGCGCGGAAGAUGUAACGGGGCUAAACCAUGCACCGAAGCUGCGGCAGCGACGCUUAGGCGUUGUUGGGUAGGGGAGCGUUCUGUAAGCCGUUGAAGGUGGCCUGUGAGGGUUGCUGGAGGUAUCAGAAGUGCGAAUGCUGACAUAAGUAACGAUAAAGCGGGUGAAAAGCCCGCUCGCCGGAAGACCAAGGGUUCCUGUCCAACGUUAAUCGGGGCAGGGUGAGUCGACCCCUAAGGCGAGGCUGAAAAGCGUAGUCGAUGGGAAACAGGUUAAUAUUCCUGUACUUGGUGUUACUGCGAAGGGGGGACGGAGAAGGCUAGGCUAGCCGGGCGACGGUUGUCCCGGUUUAAGCGUGUAGGGGGUGUGACCUGGUAAAUCCGGUUGCAUAUCAACCCUGAGGCGUGAUGACGAUGCACUACGGUGCAGAAGUAGUUGAUGCCCUGCUUCCAGGAAAAGCCUCUAAGCUCCAGGUAACAUUGAAUCGUACCCCAAACCGACACAGGUGGUCAGGUAGAGAAUACCAAGGCGCUUGAGAGAACUCGGGUGAAGGAACUAGGCAAAAUGGUGCCGUAACUUCGGGAGAAGGCACGCUGGCAUGUAGGUGAAGUCCCUUGCGGAUGGAGCUGAAGCCAGUCGAAGAUACCAGCUGGCUGCAACUGUUUAAUAAAAACACAGCACUGUGCAAACACGAAAGUGGACGUAUACGGUGUGACGCCUGCCCGGUGCUGGAAGGUUAAUUGAUGGGGUCAGCCGCAAGGCGAAGCUCUUGAUCGAAGCCCCAGUAAACGGCGGCCGUAACUAUAACGGUCCUAAGGUAGCGAAAUUCCUUGUCGGGUAAGUUCCGACCUGCACGAAUGGCGUAAUGAUGGCCAGGCUGUCUCCACCCGAGACUCAGUGAAAUUGAACUCGCUGUGAAGAUGCAGUGUACCCGCGGCAAGACGGAAAGACCCCGUGAACCUUUACUAUAGCUUGACACUGAACAUUGAGCCUUGAUGUGUAGGAUAGGUGGGAGGCUUUGAAGCGUGGACGCCAGUCUGCGUGGAGCCAUCCUUGAAAUACCACCCUUUAAUGUUUGAUGUUCUAACUCGGCCCCAUAAUCUGGGGUGAGGACAGUGUCUGGUGGGUAGUUUGACUGGGGCGGUCUCCUCCCAAAGAGUAACGGAGGAGCACGAAGGUUAGCUAAUCACGGUCGGACAUCGUGAGGUUAGUGCAAAGGCAUAAGCUAGCUUGACUGCGAGAGUGACGGCUCGAGCAGGUACGAAAGUAGGUCUUAGUGAUCCGGUGGUUCUGAAUGGAAGGGCCAUCGCUCAACGGAUAAAAGGUACUCCGGGGAUAACAGGCUGAUACCGCCCAAGAGUUCAUAUCGACGGCGGUGUUUGGCACCUCGAUGUCGGCUCAUCACAUCCUGGGGCUGAAGUAGGUCCCAAGGGUAUGGCUGUUCGCCAUUUAAAGUGGUACGCGAGCUGGGUUUAGAACGUCGUGAGACAGUUCGGUCCCUAUCUGCCGUGGGCGUUGGAAGAUUGAGAGGGGUUGCUCCUAGUACGAGAGGACCGGAGUGAACGCACCACUGGUGUUCGGGUUGUCAUGCCAAUGGCAUUGCCCGGUAGCUAAGUGCGGAAAAGAUAAGCGCUGAAAGCAUCUAAGCGCGAAACUUGCCUCAAGAUGAGUCUUCCCUGGGCCUUUAAGGCCCCUGAAGGAACGUUUAAGACUAAGACGUUGAUAGGCUGGGUGUGUAAGUGCAGCGAUGCAUUGAGCUAACCAGUACUAAUGAUCCGUGAGGCUUAACCUUACAACACCGAAGGUGUUU